CUGGAUCGAUGCUGUAACCUGUGCUGUCAGUUCUGUCUGGACAGCUGCUGUGCGAUCUGUUCGGACGACUGUAGCUACACUGUGUGUUUCCUGUGCACACGGAUGGCACACGCCUGCGCUGCAGUCUUCAACACAGAGCAGUCCACGUCUACACAGAGAUGAGAAGGUUUUCAUUUAAAAUGAAGACAGCUGGAUUGUGUCACACGGAGUUUACAUCUGAAGACUUUAAUGGGAUCUAAAGGGCAAGCUGGGGACCUGUUUAAGUUGGCGAAAGCAUUUUCUGUAUACCAAGAGAUUGGGAAAACAUCACAAUUGUUUUACAGAUGUACUACCACUGUUAAUACAGGCCAUGAUGCAUUGUGUAUAUGGAUUGUGCUUUCAAUUCUAUCACACAAUGAAUGUAUUGUAAUAGAAAAUAAAAGUGAUUCUAUAUAGACGAUUUUAUCGGACACACGCGCGUUGUGGCGAAAAUACCAAAUAUGUUAGUUUCCUAAAGACGAGGGGAGAUGACAAUAAUGGAUCACUGCUACGUAAAAGGAGAUUUGGCAGCCGAUCUGUAGUUAACAUAGUAUACGUUUAACAUUAGCUCAAUGUAGUUUCGGUUUUGAACUAAGGUCAUCUACAUGUACUUGUUAUUUAUUUUGCUUGUUAUCAGAAGUAAACUACUCUAAAACGACUCUGUUGUUAUUGAUUCUUUGUGGAAGUUUACCGGAAGUUACUUUUGUUUUACGAAAGCUGUUUGUUUAUGUUGUUACUGCUGAAACGUCUAUAAACUGACGUUGGUCUAGACCAGUGGUCACCAACCCUGUUCCUGCAGAGUUCACAUCCAUCCCUAAUCAAACACACCUGAACCUGCUAAUCAAGCUGUUUACGGCUAUACCCAAAAAUGAGAGGCAGGUGUGCUGAAUCAGGGUUGGAUCUAAAGGCUAAAUCAAAUGACUCCACAUUUUCUCAGAGGACAAGCAGGAAAAACUUGCCUUACACACCCUGUGAAACGUGCUGUCAGAGGUAGAGUAUUUAUAUUUCAGAGUCCGCCCAGGCGUGUGUCAUAUCAGCCCUGACAAUCUCAUGACAAGGAUAUACGUUUGGAAGUUGAACUAACUAUGGUUUUUACAAGAUGAAAAGAAGCUCCCAGCUUCAAAAGCGAGAACAGUGAAGGACUGAAGAAAAGACGAUUGAAGAACAAAACAGAAGUCUUGCACUUGGAAAAGGUAAGGUCUGAUCUGGUAGACUGAGCCAUGGAGGAUUACAGAAAAGAGCCACCGCCGGACUAUUCUGAGGUUGUUACGCAGCAACACACCAGCAAUACCAACCAGAGCUCUCCUGAUAAGUCGCAGGGAGGAGGUUGCAAGAGAUGCUGCAUGAGUACCAAGAGAUGUCUGAUGAGUCCUGAGUGCGGCCGGUGUCUUAAUAUCGCCAGCGUUGUUGCCAUGUGCGGCAUGUGUAUCCGAAUGUUUGUGUAGCUCCUGCAGAUCUCUAAUACAGUCGUGUCCUACUCAAAUUAAAAGAGAAACAAAGACAUUUGCUCUUUUCCAAAACCUGUAACAUUUAUAAACCUUACAUACAAGUCAGUUUCAUACAGCAUUACACAUCAAUGUAUCCAUGUGUUUGUUCACAGAUAAGGUAAUCCAAAAAUCUAUCAGAUUAAUUCAAAAUGGCAGAUGACAUAGAAAUCUGUAGACCGCAAACAAAGAUGCAGUGAAGCAGCUACUGCUGUAGGUUUUUGGACUGAACUAGUAUAAUUUCCUUAGUAAGUGCAAUAGAAAUGAAUUCCCCUUAUUCUCAUAAUUAAGCUUCAUGACGACAACAGUGUUUUAUAUGAAAAUUACAAUGAAUUAAGUUAUUUUAAAUCAAAAUUAGGUUCAGAAAUGGUCCCAAGUUGUCACUAGGGCAGUACCCUUUAAAGAAGUCAUAAUGUAUACCAUUUAGGUACACGUAUGUAUAUAUUUGGUACCAAUAUGAACUUUUUUUGUGUGCAAAUGUGUACUUUUUGAAAGGGUAGCACCCCAGUGACAGGACCAUUUUUAUCUGACAUUGCAGAUGGAGUCACUUUUAAAUGCUUCCAACUUCAACCAUUGUACACUAGUGGGAUCUACCUUUGCAAUUCAUAUCCACCUUGUAUCAUACCUUUGUUCUUAAUUUCCUUCUUGUUGCAAAUUGCAAAAUGUUUGUUAUAUAGAUGUAAAAUUAAUAAAGAUCUGAUGUAAGUGAA